rnacentral:rRNA from 1 species
UACAGAGGGGGCAAGCGUUAUUCGGAAUUAUUGGGCGUAAAGGGCGCGUAGGCGGCAUCGCAAGUGGAAGGUGAAAUCCCUGGGCUCAACCCAGGAACUGCGUCCGAUACUGGCAGGCUUGAAUCCGGGAGAGGGAUGUGGAAUUCCAGGUGUAGCGGUGAAAUGCGUAGAUAUCUGGAGGAACACCGGUGGCGAAGGCGGCAUCCUGGACCGGUAUUGACGCUGAGGCGCGAAAGCCAGGGGAGCAAACAGG